rnacentral:lncRNA from 1 species
CCUACUGCAAUGUAUGGUACGAAAAAUCAUGUUUUGGUAAUGAUAUCUUGACCAAACAUCCUCAACAAUAUAUGGUAUGGGUGAAGAAAACAAAUUCUUCACGAGCACCACCAUCAGUAUCAAUCCACAUAAAGUGAAAUAUAAAUAAACUUGAAAGUCAUUACUUGCAAAGCAAUUCAAUAAAACAGAGAGAACUAGCACCCCACAAACAAUUGGUGGCAUAGAAAUUUUUCAGGAAAUUUUCCUUCUAGGAAGUUCAAUUUUUUAUUCUGCAGGAAAAAAAAAAGGGAACUGAUCGGGCAUAGAAAUUGUUCAGUAAAUUUUCCUUCAAGAAGAGAGUACGAUUUUUUAUUCUGUAGAAAAAAAAAAAGGAACUGAUCAAAUUUUUCGGAACCCGUCAAAUUUUCCAAAAUAUCAUCAAGCAUUCCAAGUUACCCUUUUACCACAUACAGACGGGAAAAAGGCAUCCCUUGUUCAUUUCUUCAAUCUGGUUGUUCCCUCCACAUUCAAAUCCUGAAGGUUCAACAGCAGCUCAUCAGAAUUCAAGAA